GAACGCUGGCGGCGUGCUUAAUACAUGCAAGUCGAGCGGUGAACCCGACUGAAAGCCUUCGGGCUUGACGUUGGGGGAUCAGCGGCGGAUGGGUGAGUAACGCGUGGGUACCUGCCCUAAAGUCUGGGAUAACAACUCGAAAGGGUUGCUAAUACCGGAUGUGACCGAGAGGUUAAAGGCAGAGAUGUCGCUUUAGGAUGGGCCCGCGUCCCAUUAGCUAGUUGGUGAGGUAAGGGCUCACCAAGGCUGCGAUGGGUAGCCGGCCUGAGAGGGUGGACGGCCACACUGGGACUGAGACACGGCCCAGACUCCUACGGGAGGCAGCAGUAGGGAAUUUUCCGCAAUGGACGGAAGUCUGACGGAGCGACGCCGCGUGGGGGAAGAAGGCCUUCGGGUUGUAAACCCCUGUCUUCAGGGACGAAGAGGGUGUGGGAGACACACCGAAGCCGGUACCUGAGGAGGAAGCCCCGGCUAACUACGUG
rnacentral:rRNA from 1 species